AAUUUUUAAGCAGGCAGGAGAAUUGCUUUACCUGAAUGGAAAGCAGGCUGCCUCAACGGCUGUGGAUGAUGCCACCCAAGUAGGCUGAGAGGAAAAAGCCAGCACAGGAUUGCCCCAGGUUGCAGUGAGCGGAGAUCUGGAGUGGGAUGGCAUCUAUGCAGUUCUACACAAUCCAUGGUGCAGGACUGGAGGUAGAUUUGCAUACUGGCAUCCUGUCUGGAAGCUUGUGCUGUCAACUGGCUAACUGAAUUCAGAGUAGAACAGGUGUAUUUUCAUCAUACGAAGAUGAGCAGUCAUUGAACGUCAAUAAGGUUGAUUUCAAAUAUUACUUCCCACCCUUAGUUCUUGAUCUGUUGGCAAAAUAAUCCUCCAGAAGAAAUGAAAGGUAGAUUGACCCUCUUGUUUAUCUGUAUUCACAAAACACUGUCACUGGACUAUUGAAAAGCCACCACAGAAGGGUAGCAUGGGGUUGGGGGGUAACGGGACUUAACGGUAACGGGAGGAAGGAC